rnacentral:rRNA from 1 species
GUGAGGAAUAUUGGACAAUGGGCGCAAGCCUGAUCCAGCCAUGCCGCGUGCAGGAAGACGCAUCUAUGGUGUGUAAACUGCUUUUGUACGGGAAGAAACACUCCCUCGUGAGGGAGCUUGACGGUACCGUAAGAAUAAGGAUCGGCUAACUCCGUGCCAGCAGCCGCGGUAAUACGGAGGAUCCAAGCGUUAUCCGGAAUCAUUGGGUUUAAAGGGUCCGUAGGCGGUUUAAUAAGUCAGUGGUGAAAGCCCAUCGCUCAACGAUGGAACGGCCAUUGAUACUGUUAGACUUGAAUUACAAGUAAGUAACUAGAAUAUGUAGUGUAGCGGUGAAAUGCUUAGAUAUUACAUGGAAUACCAAUUGCGAAGGCAGGUUACUACUUGUGGAUUGACGCUGAUGGACGAAAGCGUGGGGAGCGAACAGGAUUAGAAACCCUUGUAGUCC